ACGACUCUCGGCAACGGAUAUCUCGGCUCUCGCAUCGAUGAAGAACGUAGCGAAAUGCGAUACUUGGUGUGAAUUGCAGAAUCCCGUGAACCAUCGAGUCUUUGAACGCAAGUUGCGCCCGAAGCCAUUAGGCCAAGGGCACGCCUGCCUGGGCGUCACG
rnacentral:rRNA from 1 species